rnacentral:pre_miRNA from 1 species
CAAUGAUGAUGAUGAUGAUGAUGAUGAUGAUGAUGAUGAUGAUGAUUAUCUUCAUCCUCCUCCUCAUCAUCAUCCUCAUCACCAGCA